rnacentral:rRNA from 1 species
AAAAAGGUACAUAAGGGCACUGAUAGUGGAUGCCUUGACAUUUACAACCGAUGAAGGACGUAGAACUCUGCGAUAAGCUUCGGGUAGCUGAGAACAAGCUUUGAUCCGGAGAUUUCCGAAUGGGGAAACCUAAUUCAAGUCAUGUUGAAUUGCCAUUGCCUGAACACAUAGGGCAACGAGACGGGAACCAGCCGAACUGAAUCAUCUUAGUAGGUUGAGGAAAAGAAAAUAACCAAUGAUUCCGAAAGUAGUGGCGAGCGAAAUUGGAAUAGUCUAAACCUCAAGAUAACCUUACGGGUUAACGCCCAGAGUUAUUAGGGGUGUUGCGUGUUUACACAAUUUUUAUGCUGAGCAGUUAAGCUUGCUUGACCGUUCGGCAUAAAAACCAACAGCGUUAACUGAGUGGAUGAGUAUCAUAGUUGUUAGCGGAAGCGUUUGAAUGGCGCGCCAAAGAUGGUGAAAGCCCAGUAUGCGAAAACAACUAUUAGAACUUAUAUGUGUUUUCACAAGUAAAACGGGGCACGAGAAACCCUGUUUGAAUCCGGCAGGACCACCUGCCAAGACUAAAUAUUGCAAAUGAUCGAUAGCGAACUAGUACAGUGAUGGAAAGGUGAAAAGAACCCCGGGAGGGGAGUGAAAUAGAUCCUGAAACUCAGUGCCUACAACGUGUUGGAGCAUGGCGAACAAAACUCAUGAGUCGCGACGAAGUCGCGCAAAUCAGUUUACUGAUAGGUGUUCGUGAGCUUUGUUCGCCAUGUGACAGCGUGCUUUUUGUAGAACGAUCCAGCGAGUUAAUUUUGUCGGCGAGGCUAAGUCAGAUGAUGGAGCCGCAGUGAAAGCGAGGGUUAAUAGCCCGUCAAGUCGGAAGGAUUAGACCCGAAACCGGGUGACCUAACCAUGAGCAGGUUGAAGCAGCGGUAACACGCUGUGGAGGACCGCACCGGGAUACGCAGUAAAGUGUUCGGAUGACUUGUGGUUAGC